AGGUCCCAAAGUCUAUAUUAAGUGGGAAACGAAGUGGGAAGGCUUAGACAGCUAGGAUGUUGGCUUAGAAGCAGCCAUCAUUUAAAGAAAGCGUAAUAGCUCACUAGUCGAGUCGGCCUGCGCGGAAGAUGUAACGGGGCUAAAAUAUAGCACCGAAGCUGCGGCAUCAGGCGUAUCACUAAUACGCCUUACGAUUAACAACAUCGAAUGAAGUGAAACGGAAUGAGAUGUUGGUCAAGCAACCCGAACGUUGAGUCGGAAAGUAAUCGAAGAGAGGAUUAUUAGUGAUACGUCUGUUGGGUAGGGGAGCGUUGUGUAAGCGGAUGAAGGUGAAUCGAGAGGUUUGCUGGACGUAUCACAAGUGCGAAUGCUGACAUAAGUAACGAUAAAACGAGUGAAAAACUCGUUCGCCGGAAGACCAAGGGUUCCUGUCCAACGUUAAUCGGGGCAGGGUGAGUCGGCCCCUAAGGCGAGGCUGAAAAGCGUAGUCGAUGGGAAACGGGUUAAUAUUCCCGUACUUGGUAAAGCUGCGAUGUGGGGACGGAGAAGGUUAGGUUAGCAGACUGUUGGAUGUCUGUUUAAGUUGGUAGGUGGGGAGUUUAGGCAAAUCCGGACUUCCAUAACACUGAGAGAUGAUGACGAGUUUCUACGGAAAUGAAGUAACUGAUACCACGCUUCCAGGAAAAGCCACUAAGCGAAAGGCUUUACUAAACCGUACUGAAAACCGACACAGGUGGUCAGGUAGAGAAUACUCAGGCGCUUGAGAGAACUCGGGUGAAGGAACU
rnacentral:rRNA from 1 species